rnacentral:rRNA from 1 species
UACGAAGGGUGCAAGCGUUACUCGGAAUUACUGGGCGUAAAGCGUGCGUAGGUGGUUCGUUAAGUCUGAUGUGAAAGCCCUGGGCUCAACCUGGGAAUGGCAUUGGAUACUGGCGGACUGGAGUGCGGUAGAGGAUGGCGGAAUUCCCGGUGUAGCAGUGAAAUGCGUAGAGAUCGGGAGGAACACCAGUGGCGAAGGCGGCCUUCUGGACCAAUACUGACGCUCAUGCACGAAAGCGUGGGGAGCAAACAGG